UUCAAGUUAGUGAUCACAUUAACAUAUAGUUUUAGUGUUGAAAAAAACACAUGCUCAAGCAAGUCUCAGGGUGAUUAAAAUUGUUUGUAAGGAUAAGGUUCCUCUGUGACGAGAACUAACAGAUGUAAACAGGGAUCAUGGCAUUAGGUAUUAGGCCUAUAUAUGGCCUUGUAUUUUUAUUCAAGCCUUGUCCCCUCUCAAGAUUAUUCUUCCUCUAUUUCUUGAAGAGAUUGCUUAAUUAGAUGCAAAGUUGAAGAACAGGGAAAAGGGAGACUCGCAAAAGAAACUGCCUAGUCACAAUAUGAACCAGAAUGCCUCUUCUUGGCAUUUUAAGCAUCAUGCAUUUGCAUAGGGCACUUAAGAAAUCGUGGGGCUGGGCUGACUUGCACAAGAAAGAGCUUAGAUGUCGCAAAGGGUCACUUCGUGCGUAUGUAGGCCAAGAAUGCAAGACGAGACAUGGAGUGAAUUUGAGCUUGCUGAAGCAUCCUCUUUUCAUGGCAUUGCUUGCAGAAGAGGUUUUUGGUUUCCCACUCGUACUCUCUAACUUCCUUUACCGUGCAAUGAGGACGUUUUUCUUCACACACUAAUGCAAUGCACUAUCUCAGAAAAAGGGAAUUCUUGUUCAUGCAUCGAUCCCUAGGUUUAUUUCAGAAGUAUUCAUAUGCAGAUCUUCAAGAAGGGGUAAGAGGAGCCAGUUGGCUAAUGAUACCGUGAUGUGGUAUUCAUAUUGAAUCUUGAACAACACUUUUAACAUCGUUUUAGCUUGAUAUCUAGAUUGCAUUUUCACUGCGCAGCCAAGUAAAAUAUGGUGAGGACGUGUUUUGGACUCUGCCAAAUUUUUCUAACCAACUGUCGUGAACCAAUUGUGAUAUCGAUCUUGUCCAACGACUGUUGUAUUUGGAAAGCAGCCGUCAAUAUGACGAUGGUCUUUUAUGUUGAUGUCAAACGCUCAAUUCCACGUUUAUAGACGCCUUCAGGCUAGUUGAGAUUUUGUUUGGCAAUACAAGGAAAAUGAGAAUCAUCAGGUCUGGAGAUUUCCUGUAUUUC